GGAGCGUUCUGUAAGCCUGCGAAGGUGUGCUGUGAGGCAUGCUGGAGGUAUCAGAAGUGCGAAUGCUGACAUAAGUAACGAUAAAGCGGGUGAAAAGCCCGCUCGCCGGAAGACCAAGGGUUCCUGUCCAACGUUAAUCGGGGCAGGGUGAGUCGACCCCUAAGGCGAGGCCGAAAGGCGUAGUCGAUGGGAAACAGGUUAAUAUUCCUGUACUUGGUGUUACUGCGAAGGGGGGACGGAGAAGGCUAUGUUGGCCGGGCGACGGUUGUCCCGGUUUAAGCGUGUAGGCUGGUUUUCCAGGCAAAUCCGGAAAAUCAAGGCUGAGGCGUGAUGACGAGGCACUACGGUGCUGAAGCAACAAAUGCCCUGCUUCCAGGAAAAGCCUCUAAGCAUCAGGUAACAUCAAAUCGUACCCCAAACCGACACAGGUGGUCAGGUAGAGAAUACCAAGGCGCUUGAGAGAACUCGGGUGAAGGAACUAGGCAAAAUGGUGCCGUAACUUCGGGAGAAGGCACGCUGAUAUGUAGGUGAAGUCCCUUGCGGAUGGAGCUGAAAUCAGUCGAAGAUACCAGCUGGCUGCAACUGUUUAUUAAAAACACAGCACUGUGCAAACACGAAAGUGGACGUAUACGGUGUGACGCCUGCCCGGUGCCGGAAGGUUAAUUGAUGGGGUCAGCGCAAGCGAAGCUCUUGAUCGAAGCCCCGGUAAACGGCGGCCGUAACUAUAACGGUCCUAAGGUAGCGAAAUUCCUUGUCGGGUAAGUUCCGACCUGCACGAAUGGCGUAAUGAUGGCCAGGCUGUCUCCACCCGAGACUCAGUGAAAUUGAACUCGCUGUGAAGAUGCAGUGUACCCGCGGCAAGACGGAAAGACCCCGUGAACCUUUACUAUAGCUUGACACUGAACAUUGAGCCUUGAUGUGUAGGAUAGGUGGGAGGCUUUGAAGUGUGGACGCCAGUCUGCAUGGAGCCGGCCUUGAAAUACCACCCUUUAAUGUUUGAUGUUCUAACGUGGACCCGUGAUCCGGGUUGCGGACAGUGUCUGGUGGGUAGUUUGACUGGGGCGGUCUCCUCCUAAAGAGUAACGGAGGAGCACGAAGGUUGGCUAAUCCUGGUCGGACAUCAGGAGGUUAGUGCAAUGGCAUAAGCCAGCUUGACUGCGAGCGUGACGGCGCGAGCAGGUGCGAAAGCAGGUCAUAGUGAUCCGGUGGUUCUGAAUGGAAGGGCCAUCGCUCAACGGAUAAAAGGUACUCCGGGGAUAACAGGCUGAUACCGCCCAAGAGUUCAUAUCGACGGCGGUGUUUGGCACCUCGAUGUCGGCUCAUCACAUCCUGGGGCUGAAGUAGGUCCCAAGGGUAUGGCUGUUCGCCAUUUAAAGUGGUACGCGAGCUGGGUUUAGAACGUCGUGAGACAGUUCGGUCCCUAUCUGCCGUGGGCGCUGGAGAACUGAGGGGGGCUGCUCCUAGUACGAGAGGACCGGAGUGGACGCAUCACUGGUGUUCGGGUUGUCAUGCCAAUGGCACUGCCCGGUAGCUAAAUGCGGAAGAGAUAAGUGCUGAAAGCAUCUAAGCACGAAA
rnacentral:rRNA from 1 species